UGUAAACACUGGCACGCGGCGGGGAGGCAGCGGAGGAAGAAGAGCUAUAGAGAAGAGCAGCUGAGAAGAGGGCGAGGGAGUGUUGAGGAAGAGAAGAGGACGAGGGAGUGUUGAGGAAGAGAAGAGGACGAGGGAGUGUUGAGGAAGAGAAGAGGACGAGGGAGUGUUGAGGAAGAGAAGAGGACGAGGGAGUGCUGAGGAAGAGAAGAGGACGAGGGAGUGUUGAGGAAGAGAACGAGGGAGUGUUGAGGAAGAGACGAGAAAGCAGAAGUGUGUGUGUGGCGGGAGGGGUCGUCGAGGCGUGCGUGUCGUGUCGGUGUGAGGCGAGUGAGUAGGCCGCCGCCAUGCCCGUGGGUCCCGAUGGCUUCCGCGUGCCCACCGUCACGGAGAGCGCCGCAAGCAACAAGCUGGAGUGGGUGACAGGGCCGAGCCAGGACGACUACAACCGCACCUUUGUGAUCAACGAUGAGGACCACACGCUGGGGAACGCCCUCAAGCACGUCAUCAUGCAGAACCCGGCGGUGGAGUUCUGUGGCUACACCGUCCCCCACCCCAUGGAGAAGAAGAUCCACGUGCGGGUGCAGACCAGUGACACGCCGGCCCUGCAGGUUCUCCUCCAGGCCCUCAAAGACCUGAAGAAGCAGAAUGAGGAGGUCAAGAAGAAGAUUGAGUAAACAGUGGAACCUCGGGAAAUAAGACACCAUGGGGCCAAAGAAGGAUAGUGAUCGCAGCAAAGUGAAAAGAAAAAAGAACAGAAUCAUGGUAGAGGUGAAGAAAGAAAUCAUUGCCAAACAUGAAAAUGGCGUUCGUCUUGCUGAUCUUGCUGCUCAGUUUGGCAUGGCAAAAUCAACAAUCUGUACCAUUCUAAAAAAUAAAGAGACGUUCAAGGGAGCCAAUGUUGCAAGAGGAGUGACAGUUCUUAGUAAAAGAUCACAGACGAUUGAAGAAGUGGAGAAAAUGCUGCUGAUUUGGAUAAAUAAAAAACUGUUAGCUGGUGAGAGUGUUACUGAGGCCAUCAUUUGUGAACAAGCAAGGCAACUGCAUGAUGACCUGGUAAAAAAAUGCCCUGGUACAAGUGCUGAUACUGAUGUUUUCAAAGCUAGCAGAAGCUGGUUUAACAAUUUUAAGAAAAGAAGUGGCAGACUUAGUGAGGCCAGGCACGGGGAGGCCGUGAGUGCGAACCAAAGAGUUGCUGAGGGAUUUCUUCCCCAGCAAGUGUUUAAUUGCAAUGAAACUGGUCUGUUCUGGAAAAGAAUGCCAAAGAGGACACACAUCACCCAAGAGGAGGAAGCAUUGCCAGGACACCAGCCAAUGAAGGACAGACUGACUCUUUUGCUGUGUGGAAACGCAAGUGGGGACUUCAAGGUCAAGCCAUUACUUGUGUACCACUCGGAUAAUCCGAGGGUGUUUAAGAAAAACAAUGUGAUAAGAAGUAAAUUGCCUGUUAUGUGGAGAGCUAAUUGUAAGGCUCGGGUAACUAGGCAAUUUUUUAUGGAGUGGGUCCAUGAAGUCUUUGCCCCAAGUGUGAAGAAAUACUUGCAAGACAACAGUUUGCCGCUGAAGUGCCUCCUGGUGAUGGAUGAUGCACCUGCUCACCCUCCAGGCUUGGUGGAUGAGUGGGUGGAGGAGUUAGAUUUCAUCACAGUGAAGUUCCUGCCUCCUUACACUGCUCCUCUAAUCCAGCCCUUGGAUCAGCAGGUCAUUUCAAACUUUAAGAAGCUUUACACCAAAGCACUUUUUCAAAGGUGUUUUGAGGUAACCUUUGACACAGAAUUAACACUCAGGGACGUCUGGAAACAUCAUUUUAAUAUUCUUCAUUGCUUAAUGCUCAUUGACAAAGCCUGGCAGCAAGUGACUUACAGGUCCGUGAAUUCGGCCUGGAGGAUAUUGUGGUCGGAUUGUGUUGCAGGCUCUGACACUAAGGAUUUUGUUGUUAUCGAUGAUAUUGUGUCUCUAGGUAAAGACAUGGGCUUGGAAGUUAACAGAGAAGACGUGGAGGAGUUACUAGAAGGGCACAAAAAUGAGCUCAGCGUGGAAGAAAUGGAACAACUUCAGAAGCAUCAGCAAGAGGCCAUUUUGGAGGAAAUGUCAUCGGAGGAGGAGGAAGGAAGGGAGGAUGUCCCUAGUUCUUUGAUCCGCAAAAUUUGUGCAACAUGGGGUGAGGUGCAGAGUUUUGUGGAGCGACAUCACCCUGAUAUAGCAGUAGCAGGCCGCAGCAUAAACACUUUCAAUGACAUUGCCAUGUCUCACUUCAGAAACAUUUUAAAAUGUAGACAAAAAAAAAAUACAUUGGACAAAUUUUUAGUAGGACAGAGGCCCAGUGAGUCCCAAGCAGAGUGGAGUGGUGCUAAGGGACAGAAAAGAGAAAAGGAAGAAACCCCAGAAAGACAGUUACCUGAUUGGUUUUAUGGAAGGGGAUUCCCCUCACAAAUAAUAACAUCUCUUCCCUUUCCCAUCCUCACCACCUUCCACUCACGCCGUCAACUCUCCUCCGUGCGGGAGGCGGUGCAGCGGUACAGGGAGGCCCACCCCCCGCCAGACACAGAGGCAGACUAACCCUGAACAACCUGUAGGCAAGGCAUCUCUCCUAAAUAGUUAUAAUCAUGUUACGGUUUCUCAAUAAAAUGCUGCAAAAG